UCUUCCCUCUGGCGGCGUGCCUAAUACAUGCAAGUCGAGCGAACAGACGAGGAGCUUGCUCCUCUGACGUUAGCGGCGGACGGGUGAGUAACACGUGGAUAACCUACCUAUAAGACUGGGAUAACUUCGGGAAACCGGAGCUAAUACCGGAUAAUAUAUUGAACCGCAUGGUUCAAUAGUGAAAGACGGUUUUGCUGUCACUUAUAGAUGGAUCCGCGCCGCAUUAGCUAGUUGGUAAGGUAACGGCUUACCAAGGCAACGAUGCGUAGCCGACCUGAGAGGGUGAUCGGCCACACUGGAACUGAGACACGGUCCAGACUCCUACGGGAGGCAGCAGUAGGGAAUCUUCCGCAAUGGGCGAAAGCCUGACGGAGCAACGCCGCGUGAGUGAUGAAGGUCUUCGGAUCGUAAAACUCUGUUAUUAGGGAAGAACAAAUGUGUAGGUAACUAUGCACGUCUUGACGGUACCUAAUCAGAAAGCCACGGCUAACUACGUG
rnacentral:rRNA from 1 species